UCCCCCCGCAGACGGGAAUGGAAGGAGCUGGCAUGUCACGUGACCAAGUAUGUGCAGUCACGUGGCGAGGAACUAGCAGUAACCAGGCCUUGGGCAAAAAAGUCUAACUGGCGGAGCUCCUGGGAGCUGGGGCGAUGGGCUCUUAGGAUCGGAGGAUUGGAACCAUCCAAUUUUUACCUGAAAUUCCUUAGUCUCUCCUGUGUUGGGGAAAUGGUCACCUUGCCUUCAGGGACCUGGGCUUUCAGCUGUCCAUACCUGGCCCUGGUUGAUGGCGGCAUGCUGGGCAGUGCACGUGAAGACGCACAUGGGAGAAAUCGACUGUGGGCAGCCUGGAAGAGGGCUCUCGCCAGAACCUGAUCUUGAACUUCCAGCCUCUGGAACUGGGCUGUGGUGCUGCUCACCUAAGGAUGUUGGAGAGUGUCCAGUCCACGCAAGAGUCCUGGAAUAGUAGCUGUCCGCUUCAUUGUUUCCACCUUGAGUAUAGAGACCGGGACUUGCUGUGUUGCCCAGGCUGGUCUUGAACUCCUGGUCUUAAGCAAUCAUACUGCUUUGGCCACCCAAAGCACUGGGAUUACAGGCAUGAACCACCACACCCAGCUCUUAAAACCACAGUAUUUCUAGCACCCUGGGAUUCCUACACUUCACUUGCGCUGGGCCCAUACAUCCUCUAAGUCCGCUCCGACCGUCAUUAGCUCUGUUCUCCUAGCCCCGCAGCAGUUCCCGGGACCUUGCACCUCCUUCCCCGACGCCGCCUUCUCACCGGUGCCCUCGGGCAGGCUCAGGAUGUCCUCGCCCUGCACCCAGCGGUAGCACGGGAAGGCCGCCUCCGCGCAGGCUCCAGGGCCCUGCACCGUGAUGCGGUCGCAGAACCACGCGUCGUCCACCAGCCAGUGGUGUUUGCGCAGCCUCACGAACUGCAGGAGCCCCAAGUCCUCUGCAACGUCACGAUCAAACUCCUCCUCCUGUGUGGGCCAGACCCAGGCUAGACUUAAUAGGAGGGACCCGACCGAGGCCGUUUCGAGGACGGAGCCGCUCUCCUGUGCAACCUCAGUUUCUCAGGGCCUCCAAAGACAGCAUCGCCUCGUUCCCGCCCACGCAAGAUCUGCUCUUUGAGUCUCAGACGCCCGGAGUCAGGUGGAGAACGAGGGCCCGCAGUGCCUGGAGCUGAUGCUGGAGCAGCAUCGCCCCCGUGGGUCCCAUUAACUGAGCUCUCCCCGCCCCGGUUCUUGGAGGAGCUUCUCGUCUGAACCCUGGGCUUAUACUUACAUUGGCUCUGGGUCAGUGGGAGAAGGAACUGGAGGCUGCUGGGACCAGGGGCGGGGAAGGGAGAUGGGGUUGAGCCCAGCCCGGGAUCCCAGCUCCGGACCCUGUCCCUGAUCUUGCCCCACGCGUCCCAACUUCGUGGAAGUCCCAGUCCGCGAGGUCGCGCUGUUACCUCGCCCCCAGCCUCCCGCCCUCCCGCCGCGAGCCCAGCUCGGCCCGGGCCGGGGGUCCCGGCUGCCCCCGCUCCCCUCGCUCCCCACGCUGACCUCUCCCCGCGCCGGCCGCAGCUGCAGCUCCAGCUCCGCCUCCCCGCGCGCCCCGACCAGCCAAAGCUGCACGAGGUUGUGCGACCCGGAGAAGAGCCAGGCCCCGGUGGCCACGCGGAUGCGGUAGCGGCCCAUGGCGCCCCCCAGCAGCUUAGGCGAGGGGAGCCCGGUGCUGCGCGAUUCCCGGGACCGCCCAGGGCUGCUGGCGCCUCGGGGCCAGUUCCGACCUUUAAAUGACGGGUCUGCGGCCCCGCCCUCCUCCCAAGUUUUAGACGCUCCCAAGUCCCCGCCCCAGACUAGCCCAAACCUGCGAGCAGAGCGGUAGAGCCGGCUGCGGGGACUGGCUGUGCCUCCUGGUCCGAGCGUAGCUGCGGGAUGAUAAAGGGGCCCGAGCCGGGGUCCACUCUGGCCCACGUUCUCUGUGCUCAGGACUGCAGGUCUGCCAUUUGCUGGUCCCCAGUUCUUCCAGUUUUCUGAGGUCACCCUAUUCUGUAAUAUCCAAAUAAAAUGACUCAAAUUCCCAUCCUGCCUAAUAGUAGGAUCUGGCCUUUCCACACACAUUUUCGUGGGUUACUUUUGCCUAGAAAAGAGUUUGUCUCAUACCUACUUCCAAAAGCACUGUUUCUCUGCUGUUUUGUGACUCCUUUUCUGCCCACUCUAGUGUACUCUAGGGCCAUGUGCAGAGAGAGGGAAAGAAUAAUUGAGAGAACAGAUUCAAGCUACUGCGCAUGCUAAAUGAGUGAAUAUGGCUAAACAGUCAGAACAGUGUGUGGCGCAUAGUCCCUCUAUGUAUUGGCUGCUAUGAUUUUAUUAUUUACAAGCGAAGGUUAGCAUUGCUCCUCUACCGUUCCUCUUCCCGUGCUGUUUCUCCACGUCCCUCUCUAGGCCUAGCCUCUCACUAGAGCUCUUAGCACUCUAGACCCUUCCCCUCCUCCUUUUGUUUCCCUUUUAAGCACAUGCGCUAUGUUGGGAGAAUAUAAUUAGAAGCACAAUGUUCUCCCAACCCAGAAAAAACCUCUCCACGAAAGUAGUGAAGAAAGAAAACAGUUUUAUUAUUGAAUAAACAUUAAACCAGAAUGUGAUGCACACCACAGGCAGUUGCUAAGAGACUGCAAAGGCAGAAGGAAGUCUCACUCUUACCUAGCCAAGCAGAUACAGCCCAUUACAUACAUGUUCUCAAGAAAAACUGUAACUAAUCCUUAGGAGGACUCGAUAGCACCAUUUGUCACAUAUAGUGCAGUCUAGAGGCAUCUGACAAUUGUGAUGACCGUCUAU